GGCUUAGACACAUCAGUCAUUGUCCCAUGGCUGAGAGAGAAUUACAAUUGUGAUGUCGUUUGCUUCACUGCUGAUGUUGGCCAAGGAACAAAAGAAUUGGAAGGUUUAGAAGCGAAAGCUAAAGCCAGUGGGGCCUCUCAAUUAGUGGUAAAGGACUUGAAGGAGGAAUUUGUUAGAAAAUAUAUAUUCCCUUGCCUGCGUGCUGGUGCAGUUUAUGAGAGGAAGUAUUUGCUUGGGACUGCAAU